ACUAGUAACCAGCAGGUAGCCUAGUGGUUAGAGCAUUGGACUAGUAACCAGCAGGUAGCCUAGUGGUUAGAGCGUUGGACUAGUAACCAGCAGGUAGCCUAGUGGUUAGAGCGUUGGACUAGUAACCAGCAGGUAGCCUAGUGGUUAGAGCGUUGGACUAGUAACCAGCAGGUAGCCUAGUGGUUAGAGCGUUGGACUAGUAACCAGCAGGUAGCCUAGUGGUUAGAGCAUUGGACUAGUAACCAGCAGGUAGCCUAGUGGUUAGAGAGUUGGACUAGUAACCAGCAGGUAGCCUAGUGGUUAGAGCAUUGGACUAGUAACCAGCAGGUAGCCUAGUGGUUAGAGAGUUGGACUAGUAACCAGCAGGUAGCCUAGUGGUUAGAGCGUUGGACUAGUAACCAGCAGGUAGCCUAGUGGUUAGAGCGUUGGACUAGUAACCAGCAGGUAGUCUAGUGGUUAGAGCGUUGGACUAGUAACCAGCAGGUAGCCUAGUGGUUAGAGCAUUGGACUAGUAACCAGCAGGUAGCCUAGUGGUUAGAGCGUUGGACUAGUAACCAGCAGGUAGCCUAGUGGUUAGAGCGUUGGACUAGUAACCAGCAGGUAGCCUAGUGGUUAGAGCGUUGGACUAGUAACCAGCAGGUAGCCUAGUGGUUAGAGAGUUGGACUAGUAACCAGCAGGUAGCCUAGUGGUUAGAGCAUUGGACUAGUAACCAGCAGGUAGCCUAGUGGUUAGAGAGUUGGACUAGUAACCAGCAGGUAGCCUAGUGGUUAGAGCAUUGGACUAGUAACCAGCAGGUAGCCUAGUGGUUAGAGAGUUGGACUAGUAACCAGCAGGUAGCCUAGUGGUUAGAGCAUUGGACUAGUAACCAGCAGGUAGCCUAGUGGUUAGAGAGUUGGACUAGUAACCAGCAGGUAGCCUAGUGGUUAGAGAGUUGGACUAGUAACCAGCAGGUAGCCUAGUGGUUAGAGCAUUGGACUAGUAACCAGCAGGUAGCCUAGUGGUUAGAGAGUUGGACUAGUAACCAGCAGGUAGCCUAGUGGUUAGAGCAUUGGACUAGUAACCAGCAGGUAGCCUAGUGGUUAGAGAGUUGGACUAGUAACCAGCAGGUAGCCUAGUGGUUAGAGCGUUGGACUAGUAACCAGCAGGUAGCCUAGUGGUUAGAGCGUUGGACUAGUAACCAGCAGGUAGCCUAGUGGUUAGAGCGUUGGACUAGUAACCAGCAGGUAGCCUAGUGGUUAGAGAGUUGGACUAGUAACCAGCAGGUAGCCUAGUGGUUAGAGAGUUGGACUAGUAACCAGCAGGUAGUCUAGUGGUUAGAGCGUUGGACUAGUAACCGAAAGGUUGCAAGAUCAAAUCCCCGAGCCGACGACUUAAAAAUCGUUCUGCCCCUGAACAGGCAGUUAACCCACUGUUCCCCGGCCGUCAUUGAAAAUAAGAAUUUGUUCUUAACUUACUUGCCUAGUUAAAUAAAGUUAAAGUAUAUUAUAUUUUUAAAUCAGUCCAUCCACCCAUCGUUCCAUCCAUCUUGUGACAGGA